GUCAACUCCUGCGAGGACGAGGCUGAUGAGGGAUUUUAAGAGGUUGCAACAGGACCCACCGGCGGGCAAUAGUGGUGCACCCCAAGAUAAUAACAUUAUGCUUUGGAAUGCCGUGAUAUUCGGUCCUGACGAUACUCCAUGGGAUGGAGGUAAGCCUUCCAUUGAUUGUUCUUCCCUUAUGUGGACCUUCGUUCAUGUUCAGAAUGUGGCGCUGUUAAUUGUUGUUGUAUGGUUUUAUAUUUGUAGAUAUUGUGGUAGCGGUUUACUUCCUCUAGUAAUACAUCUCACUGUACAUAAAAGAGAGCUUUAAAGACAUGGCAUGUUGACAGUUGUCAAUCUACGAGGUGGUUUGUCGAAAUAGCGUUCUCUUAUUUUCUUUCCUCUCCUCAUUCUUCGGAUAAGAAUUACAAGAGAAAGCUAUAAAAAUUAUCUUUAUUUUGUGGGAUAAGCUUUGUCUAGGUUGUACACUUUUCGAAAUUAUAGGGCGCAUUUAUUUACUCUUCAGCAAAAGCAAAAAAUAACUGUAUUUGUUUUUCGCGAAAGCUUAAAAGAUCAU